CAAACGAUUAAUUGGGGAGGACUUCGAGGAAAGCCCUUUUAUUUGAAUCUUUUCACGCUUCAAUUUUCGGCCAUUAUUAUAUACAUGAAUAUGCUUAACGAGCUUCAUCAACACUAAAGCCGGCUCUCGUAAAACAGAUUAACAACUGGACAUAUCUACUUUUUACUUAUUCCUUCACGAGGAUUCUGAGCCUUCCAGUUCGCUGCAAAUCUUUCAGCACAUGACUGCACUGCAACCGGCAUGUUUUUGUUCAUAAUAUCUCAGUGCCGAGUAACUGAUGUAAUAUUACAGGCAGCUGUCCCGUUUGAGAUCUUUUUGCGAUCGGUGGAUGAAGUCUAGAUCCUAGGAUAGUCAAUGUGCUCGACUGCUGUAUUUCCCGUGAGCCAGUUGCCACAAGUUACAAAUCGAACGAAUUUAAUGUCGAUUUCCACGGACUUGACGCAUUCGUCACCCCUAUCCAGACUACCAAGUCACUACUACAGAAGUUUUACUUUCAGCUCUAUUUUUUUGUGAUCGAUAGAAGAUUGCCCGCGUCGUAUAGGGCCCCUUUUGGAUUUUUAACGGUGAUCGAAGUUGAAUUAUAGAGCUAUCUUGCAAUUGUAGAGCUGAUUACAAAUAAACA